AGAGCUGUGGCUCAGAGGUAGAACAUCUGCUUUGGAUGCAGAAGGUCUUAGGUUCAGUCCUUGGUAUCUCCA
rnacentral:tRNA from 1 species